rfam:Triticum aestivum genome assembly, contig: Triticum_aestivum_CS42_TGACv1_scaffold_404501_5BL
CUUUUACUCCCUCCGUCCGGAAUUACUUGUCAUCAAAAUUGAUGAAAAUGGAUGUAUCUAGAACUAAAAUACAUCUAGAUACAUCCAUUUAAAUGACAAGUAUUUCCGGACGGAGGGAGUAUCAU